rnacentral:rRNA from 1 species
AAUAGAUACCCCGGUAGUCCACGCCGUAAACGAUGAGUGCUAGGUGUCACGGGCUUUGACCCUCGUGGUGCCGCAGCUAACGCAAUAAGCACUCCGCCUGGGGAGUACGGCCGCAAGGCUAAAAACUCAAAGGAAUUGACGGGGGCCCGCACAAGCGGUGGAGCAUGUGGUUUAAUUCGACGCGACGCGCAGAACCUUACCUGGGCUAGAAAACGUAGGAACCUGGGUGAAAACUCGGGGUGCUCUUCGGAGAAUCUACGGUUAGGUGUUGCAUGGCUGUCGUCAGCUCGUGUCGUGAGAUGUUGGGUUAAGUCCCGCAACGAGCGCAACCCUUGUCGUUAGUUGCCAGCAUUGAGUUGGGCACUCUAACGAGACUGCCGACUUUCAAGUCGGAGGAAGGUGGGGAUGAUGUCAAGUCCUCAUGGCCCCUAUGUCCGAGGGCUACACACGUGCUACAAUGGUCGGUACAAAGGGCUGCGAAACCGCGAGGUGGAGCCAAUCCCAAAAAAACCCGGCCUCGAGUACGGAUUGGAGUCUGCAACUCGACUCC